CGCGUAGGUGGUUUGUUAAGCGAGAUGUGAAAGCCCCGGGCUUAACCUGGGAACGGCAUUUCGAACUGGCAGGCUAGAGUGUGGUAGAGGGUAGUGGAAUUUCCUGUGUAGCGGUGAAAUGCGUAGAUAUAGGAAGGAACACCAGUGGCGAAGGCGGCUACCUGGACCAACACUGACACUGAGGUGCGAAAGCGUGGGGGAGCAAACA
rnacentral:rRNA from 1 species